GGACGACAGAGAACAGUGGACACACAGUUUAACAUGAUGGACUACAGGACAGGACUGCUGCUUUUAACUCUCUGCUGGGCAGGUGUUGAUGGUCAGACUCUGACAGAAUCUGAACCAGUGGUUAAAAGGCCUGGAGAAUCUCACAGAUUGACCUGUACAGCCUCUGGAUUCACAUUCAGCAGCUACUGGAUGCACUGGGUCAGACAGGCUCCUGGAAAGGGACUGGAGUGGAUUGCACUUAUCAGAUAUGACAGUGCUGAGAUCUACUACUCUCAGUCAGUCAAAGGCCGGUUUACCAUCUCCAGAGACAACAGCAGACAGCAGCUGUAUCUGCAGAUGAACAGUCUGAAGACUGAAGAUUCUGCUGUUUAUUAUUGUGCUCGAGAGCCACAGUGACUGGAGUUGGUUGAGCAGCUGUACAAAAUCCUACAGCACUCAUCGUUCAGGCUGGUAGAGCCCAAGGAUGAAGGAUUGUUUUGUAUUCAUUUUCUAUACUUAUUGAUUGUUUUAUAUUCUGUAUUUUUAAAUUACAUGUCUUUUUUAAAUAAUGGAUUAUACAAAGUCCUGAAAACUGUUCCUGAGAAAUAUUACUAAACAUUAAACACAUAAAAAAAACAAUAAAAGAUAAUUUGUUCAUGAAAGGGCCAAAGACAGCACAACAAUCUGCUUGCCGAAAUUAAACCACUACAAAUACUAAACAUUUCUACAAAUUAAGACACAAUAAUGUCUGUAAAUGAUGUGGACUCUAAUGUGAGUCAGAAUAUGAGAGUGAAAACUAAUGUUGCAGUUUCUGUUAUAAAAUCACUAGAGGGCAGUCAGUGUCAAGUUUCUCUCCUCUGUUACUAAAAGGAGACUCUCAGAUCUGGUGUUCUCAUUGAUCUGAACUGACUGACACUCGAACCCUGGACUGAACUAAAGCUGAACACUCCUGCUGCUCAUGUCCACUGGAUGUUGUAAUAGUUGAAACUUUUCUAAACAAAAGUCAUGUUUCAACUAGAUUCGGCACAUUUUGAACAGUAAAGAAUAUUAUAUACAUAUUCAAGUUACAAACAAAAUUAAUUUAUCUUACAAAUAUUUUUUUCUGGAGA